AGGUAGCAUAAUAAUUUGCCUUAUAAUUCAAGGCUGGAAUAAACGAUCUGACGAGAGUAAAUCUGUCUCCAUUUAAUUAGUAAAAUUUAUAUAAAGGUAAAAAAGCCUUUAGUUAAUAGAAAGACGACAAGACCCUAGAACCUACUGCUUAUAUUUAAUUUAGUUAAUAUUUAAUAGAUAGUUCAGUUUGCUGGGGCGGCAAAAAUUUAAAUCAAUAAAAUUACUAACAUACUGCAUGAAUAUAAUUAUCCAUAUUGCCAAUAAUUAGGUACUCUAGGGAUAACAGCACAAUUUAUUUUUAGGAGCCCUUAUCGACAAAAUAAUUUGUGACCUCGAUGUUGAAAUUGAGUCUU
rnacentral:rRNA from 1 species